rnacentral:rRNA from 1 species
GGUUAAAGGUACCCGUACCGCAAACCGACACAGGUGGGUGAGGAGAGUAUCCUAAGGCCAGCGAGAGAACUGUUGUUAAGGAACUCGGCAAAAUGACCCCGGAACUUAGGGAUAAGGGGUGCCACCAGCAGGUGGCCGCAGAGAAUAGGCCCAAGCGACUGUUUACCAAAAACAUAGGUUUCUGCUAAGUCGCAAGACGAUGUAUAGGAGCUGACGCCUGCCCGGUGCU